UACGUAGGGUGCAAGCGUUGUCCGGAAUUAUUGGGCGUAAAGAGCUCGUAGGCGGUCUGUCGCGUCUGCUGUGAAAACUCAGGGCUUAACCCUGAGCUUGCAGUGGGUACGGGCAGACUGAGAGUGCGUAGGGGAGACUGGAAUUCCUGGUGUAGCGGUGGAAUGCGCAGAUAUCAGGAAGGAACACCAGUGGCGAAGGCGGCU
rnacentral:rRNA from 1 species